GCUCCGGGGAACGGUUCAGCAGCAGCAGUGGGCAAAGCCGCGGCAGGAGGGACUCGGAGGGCUGCUUCUGGACACCCUGCAGGCCAGUGAUCGUUAGGUGACGAAACUGGAGAUUGAGCCGCUGUCCCUGCAGCUCCAUCAGGUGAUGUCACAGGUGCCAAACCUCACCCUGGCCGUUGCCGCGGAGGCGUCAGGGAGACGGCGGCGGCUUGCGUGGCCGGUUGCCCCACGUGGGUAAUGGUCUGCGGCUGAGCCGGUGGACCCUGGGCGGGCAGGACCCGGGCGUGGCUCCCUCAGACGGGUCUGUCGGCCAGAUUUGAUGCACUAAAGCCCAGGCUUUGUCCCCAUAACUCAGGAGGAGGGCUGAGGGCAUGGACCCCGAUGUCUAAUAAGGGUCUCGCAGGGGCAGCUGCAUCAGUUUUAUAGAUGAUGACAGCGUUUUAUGAACUGUGCAUUCACGGCUCUCCCUGGGUUAAUUUGGAAAAAUACCUUUCCUGGUUCUGAGCCCCAAAUGAACACUUUCUUAUUCUCCACUGUCUACAAUGUUACUAACCCCCUGUGCUAAAACCAGCCCCGCCUUGCCGUGCCUGGGGUUAGCCACCUCUGCCAGCAGCUUCCCUGGCGGGCCAGACCCCCAUGCCCUCUGUCCUGAGUGUGACCAGGGCUGGUCGGGGGCGGGGCAGGGCGGCUGGGAGCCCCUGAGCUCCCGUGACAGGGAGGGUGCAGGGCUGGGCACUGAGGUCUGGCCUUUGGACCCACUCUUUGGGGUGCUCUGGAGGGGGCGCCCCAGGUGACACUGGAAUGUCCUGCCAUCCAUUCCUGGUGGGAGAAGCUCCAGCCUUUCUGGCCCUUCCCUGGGCCCAGCCUGACUGGCAGAUGGGACCAAAGCGACCUGUGGUCAUCCUGAUGGGAGCUCAGUGGGGAGCUCUAGACUCAGGGAACUAGGGCUCCAUGGAGCACAGAUCUGGGUGUGAAAUCCCGUUUCUAAGAAAGCUUCAGGGCUCGGGGCCUCGGGGCCCUGCUCCGUGCGGAGGCGACCCCGCCGCGCAGCGUUCAGCUGCUCUGCUGCAUCUCUCGCCCUCCAUCUGGUCGGCUGUUUUGUUAUGAAAACGCAGUUCCGUGUAGAGUGCACGGCCUGAGUGCUCCUGGGGGACCUAGUCUUCCUUGUUUUUCUUCUAGCGUCACUGAGCCAUCUCCUCAGAGGGAAAUCAAUCUGCUCAGAGCCCAUCUGUGCUCGCCCCCGGCCGGCAGAGUCCUCACACGGCCGUGCAGCCCACAGAUGACCCAGCCGGUGGCUGGGAGCAGGGGCGGGGCCAGAGGGGUCCCCACGGCCGGCACAGGAAGAGGAGCUUGAGGUGAUGGAAUCCUGGGGCCAAGAGACGGAGCAGCAGGGGUUCCGAGGCCAGUGGCGCGUGGCCCCAAGAAGGAAGAGCGGGGUUGGGGUCUCUGGAUGCCUCUGGGGCCUCCCGCCUGCCGGCUGCCACAGGGAACAGGUGCGCUUGUGAGGACCCUCUGCUGAGGACACGCCGGCGCUCACGGGGACCCUCCGCGGACGACAAGCCUGCUCGCAGGGAGCUCACGGGGACCCUCCGCUGAGGAAAUGUGUUGUGUUCCCAGGCAGCAGUGGCCCCAGGGCCCCGUGGAACUCUCCGGAACAGCUGUGUAAACUGCGCGUAGGAGGAGGGAGGCUGCUCAUGCCUCAGCUCCCCAACGGAAGGAACACGGGAACACACGGACCCAGGACGCGCUCCAGGGAGGCAACGCUCAGAGGCGGCCCUGGGUCUCGGGGCACUUGGCGGCCACAGGUGAGGGCGUGGCCCCGGCCAGGGCACUACAAUGGUAGAGGGCGCGGGUCACUCUCAGUCCCACACCGCAUCAUCCCCCACACACCCUCUGCCCUGUACGCCUGUGGGGGCAAAAGCCCUAGCUGAAGACCCCACACUGCCUGCGGACGGGACAAGUGGCCAACCGUCCUCUCCUCUGAGGGGGACGCCAGGCCACGCUGCAGAGCACAGCCACCACCCCGGCUGCUUCCACCUCAUCCUGGACAUGGUGUGGGGCUGGAGAGGAUGACACGGCCUGACCUCUGAGGCCUGGACGGGAGGCGCUGCCUGUGCUGGGUCUUUGGGGGUGGUGCUCAGAGGCCCAGGUGCAAUGAGACCCAGCUCUGUCCCCUCCCCUCCCAGCAUCCCUACUGUCCACUGCCACUCCCCCCACCAGGCAGCGGACUCCAGAACUGGGCCAGCACUGGCACUGAGGGAACCCGCAGCCCCGCCGUCAUGCCUGGGAGGGUCCCUGUCUGCCUGCACCAGGGCCUGUUAGUCCAAUUCUCAUCCGACCCCCGGCCAGGUUCCUGCGUUCUGAAUAAACAAGGAUGUUUUUGAGGC